rnacentral:rRNA from 1 species
GUGUCGUGAGAUGUGGGUUAAGUCCCGUAACGAGCCGCAACCCUUGUCCUUAGUUACCAGCACGUUAUGGUGGGCACUCUAAGGAGACUGCCGGUGACAAACCGGAGGAAGGUGGGGAUGACGUCAAGUCAUCAUGGCCCUUACGGCCUGGGCUACACACGUGCUACAAUGGUCGGUACAAAGGGUUGCCAAGCCGCGAGGUGGAGCUAAUCCCAUAAAACCGAUCGUAGUCCGGAUCGCAGUCUGCAACUCGACUGCGUGAAGUCGGAAUCGCUAGUAAUCGUGAAUCAGAAUGUCACGGUGAAUACGUUCCCGGGCCUU